rnacentral:ncRNA from 1 species
UUGGUCCUAAACUUGCCAUUGUUUUUAAUAAAAAUUACACAUGCAAGCUUCAACACACCAGUGAGAAUGCCCACAAACCCCUAAACAGUUUACAGGAGCAGGCAUCAGGAACACCAGUUGUUUGCCUACGACGCCUUGCUAUGCCACACCCACAAGGGCCCUCAGCAGUGAGAAAUAUUAAGAAAUAAGCGAAAGCUUGACUUAGUCAUUAUUAAUAUGGUCGGUAAAUCUCGUGCCAGCCACCGCGGUUAUACGAAAGACCAAAAACAAUGGCCCGCGGCGUAAAGAGUGAUAAAAGAGGACCCCCCAAUUUAAAGGGAAACUACAACAAAGUUGUAAAAUACUACUGAAUGUAGGAACCACAACAACAAAAUGCCUUUAAACCACUUAACCUCACGAAAGCUGAGAAACAAACUGGGAUUAGAUACCCCACUAUGCUCAGCCGUCAACAAAGACAGUAUAAAACACAACACUGUUCGCCAGAGAACUACAAGCUUAAAGCUAAAAACUCCAAGGACUUGGCGGUGCUCCACAUCCCCCUAGAGGAGCCUGUCCUAUAAUCGAUACCCCCCGAUCCACCUCACCAUUUUUUGAAACUCAGCCUAUAUACCGCCGUCGACAGCCUACCUUAUGAAAGAAGCACAGUAAGCAAAAUAGUCACCAACUAAAACGUCAGGUCAAGGUGUAGCACAUAAAAUGGAAGAGAUGGGCUACACUCUCUCCCACAGAGAACACGAAGAGCACCAAUGAAACACUGCUCAAAGGUGGAUUUAGUAGUAAGAUAAACAAGAGAACUUAUCUAAAACCAGCCCUGGAGCGCGCACACACCGCCCGUCACCCUCAUCA